rnacentral:tRNA from 2 species
AGAAAUAUGUCCGACAAAGGAAUUACUUUGAUAGAGUAAAACAUAGAGGUCACAGCCCUCUUAUUUCUA